CCAGAGAACUUAGCAGAGAUGCUUUGGUGCCUUCGGGAACUCUGAGACAGGUGCUGCAUGGCUGUCGUCAGCUCGUGUUGUGAAAUGUUGGGUUAAGUCCCGCAACGAGCGCAACCCUUAUCCUUUGUUGCCAGCGGUCCGGCCGGGAACUCAAAGGAGACUGCCAGUGAUAAACUGGAGGAAGGUGGGGAUGACGUCAAGUCAUCAUGGCCCUUACGAGUAGGGCUACACACGUGCUACAAUGGCGCAUACAAAGAGAAGCGACCUCGCGAGAGCAAGCGGACCUCAUAAAGUGCGUCGUAGUCCGGAUUGGAGUCUGCAACUCGACUCCAUGAAGUCGGAAUCGCUAGUAAUCGUGGAUAAGAAUGCCACGGUGAAUACGUUCCCGGGCCUUGUACACACCGCCCGUCACACCAUGGGAGUGGGUUGCAAAAGAAGUAGGUAGCUUAACCUUCGGGAGGGCGCUUACCACUUUGUGAUUCAUGACUGGGGUGAAGUCGUAACAAGGUAAGCGUAGUGCU
rnacentral:rRNA from 1 species